GGCAGUGAGAAGAAAGAUAGGGCAUUAGCAACUUCAACUCGAGAAGCAACAUCGCCAUCCAAAUUCGAAUCCGCUGAAGACGAACCUUUUGCCUCUUGAGUUCAUGGUUCAUUCCACUCAACAAGCUCGCGUCCGAUCCCAUCCAAGAUUGCUUCCUUCCCUCUUUUCCACCCGCCCCACCAAUGCUCCUCUAUGACACUAGGCAGCAAAACAACAUGAAGCUUCACUGGCUGGCAGACUGCAAAAACAGACAUUCUCUCUUAUUGCCUCCCUCCUCCCAAAUAGCUCUAUCAGUUUCAUUUGGUUUCCUGGUCUUUUUCCACUUCGUCGUUGGUAGCAGUCCUUUGGAGCGUCUUCUUCUCUUUGGGAUUUUACUAGUUCUGAACCCCUUUUUUUCUGAAUUUGGUAUUUUAACUGAUCUACAAACUACAUACCAGCAAUAGUGCAAGGAUCAGCACAGUUCAUCUUUCUAGGAUUAAGGUCGUAACUCAACCUCUUUAUUACAUCAUAACUAGUGAUCUAUGGCUUACUUAGUAAUUGAAUAUUCCUAUGAUGCAUAACUAGUAGUUUUAUGGAGCCCAUGAAGAGGCUGCAAAUAGCUAUUGGCUCCAAUGAUUCUGUUAUAGAUGCAAUAAAAAAAACUUGAUUCCAACAUAAGUCCCACCUAGAUGUGAAAUGAAGCAAUGGUACUGGAGCCAUUAUUUGAAAAGAACCAUUGGUAAGACAGGAAGAAUUUCAAAUGAGCUGAAUGCCUUAGAAGAUCAAAGAGAAACACUACAUAUAUAUUAAUUGUCUCCUGAAUGAAAAAGAACAAAGCAACACUGGAUAAACUAUUAUUGUUCCUACUACUAAUGAUACUCUACGAUAGUAACAAGUUAUUCCAUUUACAUGCCAUUCUCAAGCCCAAAAAAGCAUUUGAAAAACUAUCCUGAUUUUUUGAUGGUCUCUUCUUGGGCCAUUUUGAUCCUGUUUUAUAUCUUUUAAUAAAUAAUACUUAUGUGUACAUUGUUUUCUUAAAAAAGAAAAGCAGUCCUCAUUCCUCUGUGUGAUGUGUAGAAGUGAAACACAAACACUAUAAUUCCCUUGAACAAAAGCACUGCACUUUUCAAAAUAACUGGUGCAAUUCAACUGGCUCGUUGCCAAACUACAUACCAGCAUCCUGAACAGGUUUUAACUAAUAUAUCUAACA
rnacentral:lncRNA from 1 species